UCCUCUGAUGGAUAUUAAUAUCUGAUAUUGACACGACACUUCUAAUGAAAAUCACAUCGAAUCUUUGAAUGCUAUCAAAGUUCAUAAGCUUCUGGAAUCGAUCAAUACAAAAGACUUCACCAACUGCUUGUAUGGGCAGUGCUAUAGGAUGAAGGCACCAAGAUUCCAAGAUCUAGAAAGGAACUGUAUUAGUGUGAGUGAUCACACAGCGACUAUACAGGCGAUAAUGCUGGUGCCAAUUUCAUGAAGUUACUUGUUAUUCCUUCCAGGAAAUAAAUAAAAUGAACUUUUGUUCAGUAUG